rnacentral:misc_RNA from 1 species
AAGUCGUAACAAGGUUUCCGUAGGUGAACCUGCGGAACGAUCAUUAACACGUAGUUAAAACCCCCCCCGUGAACCUUCAUCGUGCUCUUGUAACUCGCGUAGUUCGCAAUCCCUGAUAAAUCAUAGCCCGGAAAGUUGUAGUGAUUCAGCUACGUGCGAACAUUGGAACAGUUACAAUCGAGCGGAUAGUUUUAUUAGCAAUGUUUCCCCAAGCAGUCAGUGUCGGAAAGUGUCAUUGAUUGUGCAAGGAUAGCGCUUCUACGAUUCCUGUAGUUGCCACAGGGUCCCCAUGCCCCCUAAUAACCCCACAGUUUAAUGUGAAGCUCAAUGUAAUACAUUGGGUAAAAAAACCGAACAACUGUUAACAAUGGAUAUCUUGGUUCUC